rnacentral:rRNA from 1 species
AGUCACUGACAUUAGAUACCCCUGUAGUCCAGGGUGUAAACGCUGCAGACUUGGUGUUGGGGGCCCUUUGGGGCAUUCAGUGCCGGAGAGAAGUUGUUAAGUCUGCUACUUGGGGAGUACGUCCGCAAGGAUGAAACUUAAAGGAAUUGGCGGGGGAGCACCGCAACGGGAGGAGCGUGCGGUUUAAUUGGAUUCAACACCGUAAACUCACCAGGGAAGACUGUUACAUGAAGGCCGAGAUGAAGACUCUGCUAGAUUUUCAG